GAUGAACGCUAGCGACAGGCCUAACACAUGCAAGUCGAGGGGCAGCACAAGGAGCAAUCUGAGGUGGCGACCGGCGCACGGGUGAGUAACACGUAUGCAACCUACCUGUAAGAGGGGAAUAACCCGUUGAAAAACGGACUAAUACCGCAUAACACUGUAGAACCGCAUGGUUUGACAGUUAAACAUUUAUGGCUUACAGAUGGGCAUGCGCAUGAUUAGCUAGUCGGUGAGGUAACGGCUCACCAAGGCAACGAUCAUUAGGGGUUCUGAGAGGAAGGUCCCCCACACUGGUACUGAGACACGGACCAGACUCCUACGGGAGGCAGCAGUGAGGAAUAUUGGUCAAUGGGCGAGAGCCUGAACCAGCCAAGUCGCGUGAAGGAUGAAGGUUUUAUGAAUUGUAAACUUCUUUUGCAGGGGAAUAAAGUGUCCGACGUGUCGGAUUUUGUAUGUACUCUGCGAAUAAGGAUCGGCUAACUCCGUG
rnacentral:rRNA from 1 species